rnacentral:rRNA from 1 species
UACGUAGGGGGCAAGCGUUGUCCGGAAUCAUUGGGCGUAAAGCGCGUGUAGGCGGCCCGGUAAGUCCGCUGUGAAAGUCGGGGGCUCAACCCUCGAAUGCCGGUGGAUACUGUCGGGCUAGAGUGCGGGAGAGGCGAGUGGAAUUCCUGGUGUAGCGGUGAAAUGCGCAGAUAUCAGGAGGAACACCAAUUGCGAAGGCAGCUCGCUGGAACGUAACUGACGCUGAGGUGCGAAAGCGUGGGGAGCAAACAGG